GAUGAACGCUGGCGGCGUGCCUAAUACAUGCAAGUCGAGCGAACAGACGAGGAGCUUGCUCCUCUGACGUUAGCGGCGGACGGGUGAGUCACAUGUGGAUAACCUACCUAUAAGACUGGGAUCACUUCGGGAAACCGGAGCUAAUACCGGAUAAUAUAUUGAACCGCAUGGUUCAAUAGUGAAAGACGGUUUUGCUGUCACUUAUAGAUGGAUCCGCGCCGCAUUAGCUAGUUGGUAAGGUAACGGCUUACCAAGGCAACGAUGCGUAGCCGACCUGAGAGGGUGAACGGCCACACUGGAACUGAGACACGGUCCAGACUCCUACGGGAGGCAGCAGUAGGGAAUCCUCCGCAAGGGGCGAAAGCCUGACGGAGCAAAGCCGCGUGAGUGAUGAAGGUCUUCGGAUCGUAAAACUCUGUUAUUAGGGAAGAAGAAAUGUGUAAGUAACUAGGCACGUCUUGACGGUACCUAAUCAGAAAGCCACGGCUAACUACGUG
rnacentral:rRNA from 1 species